UACGUAGGGACCAAGCGUUGUCCGGAAUCAUUGGGCGUAAAGAGCGUGUAGGCGGCUUGUUAAGUCUUGCGUGAAAUCUCGGGGCUCAACCCCGAGCGGUCGUGAGAAACUGGCAGGCUAGAGUGCGGGAGAGGAGAGUGGAAUUCCUGGUGUAGCGGUGAAAUGCGCAGAUAUCAGGAAGAACACCUAUGGCGAAGGCAGCUCUCUGGGACGGUACUGACGCUGAGACGCGAAAGCGUGGGGAGCAAACAGG
rnacentral:rRNA from 1 species